UGCUGAGAGCUCGCAGACAGAAAUGAGGAGGAGCUUUUGUUGCUGAAUGUGAACAGUCUGACAGCCUUAAGCCCAACCUGGGCAUUCUCCUAGAGAUUUGGUGAUGUUUGUGUUGUAUGUCCACAUGUUGUUUAGGCUCUGCAGGUAUGAGGAACUUCCUGGUGGGCUUUAACAGAAGACUCACUACCUAAUAUCUUUGUUGAAUCCGCUAAAGGCCUUUUCUGAUUGGUGAGAGAUAGUGUUUUUAACUGUGCGUGUGAAUGAAUGCAUGUGUAUGUGGUUUUGUGUGUGUCUAAGUCAUAUUUCUCCAAAGAAUUUGGCUGAAAUUUUAAUUGUCUUUUUGUUGUUAGAUAGAAAAUCUAUCCUGGCAGAAGACUGAUGUUCAAAGUGUCAUAGGUGACCAAGGGGGAGUUCAAGCAAAGAUUUAAAAUAACUUAUCUGUCAUAAGGAAAGAAAAAAAGGCUUUUUGCUACUGUCCAGAUUCUUUGCCUUGCUGAACACAGUAAAUCAGGACUUGGAGGAAGGGUCUCAUUUGUACUUUGUAUGAGGUUAAGAUAGCACAUACAGAAGUGUGGUCCAUGAAUAUAUAUACCUGAUAGGGGUAUUUUCCCAGACUAGCCUUCAUGUACAGUUCAGUGUAACCACUGAUUGCCUUAUUUUUUUUAUUAGGCUCUUUUGGAGGGAGAAUCUCUGGUUGCACACCAACAUGCCUAACAUGCAUUGGCAGACCAUAACUUACAAGGUGGGAAACACGUGCUAGUUCCAGAGCAUGAGGGCUGAAUGUAUGAUUUGUGGGCCAGCACCGCGUUCUCUUUGUAGGGCCAGUGAUGUGCUCAUUGGAUUAAUCAAGACGAGUCAUUUUACAGCCUCUAAGAAGCAGUUUCAGCCAGGCUACUUUACCAAACACAGGUUAACUUAGUGCCCUGCCCCAUUAGUGACCUCAUAUUCUUUCAGUUUGACUCCAUGUCUGUAAUACUCAGCUACUGAAGGCAUUGAAUACAGGUUUAAGGUCAUACUGUCCUGUGAUCUUUUGCUGUGGAGCACCAAAGGCUUUUGUCUGUGCCUGUAGUAGGUGUAGACUGGUACCCAUCUCUUACUGAUACCUCAGAUGCUGGCAAUGAAGAAAUCCUGUGUAGGCAGUUCACCUGUUCUAGAGUUCUGUUUUUAAUUUGUAACUGCACAAACACUUUCAGAAAACAAAUAAUGGACUUUUAUAAUUUUAUUCCUAGAAGGCAUUUAUAAAUUUAAGCAAAAAAUAAUGGUACUUGUCAAGCCCCUUGCUUUACAGAUAUGCCAACAGGCCUAUGUGUAGGUUCAUGGCUAGAAAACACUGCAUUCUGCAAAAGCCAGUCUUGUGCCCUGACUCAAGUUUUAUUGUUGUAAUAAGUUUGUUCCUCCCUUUAAGAUGUGUAACGUUCCUGAUUUCUUUAAUAGCUAAAGGAAAUGCAAGUGUUUGUGAUGUCAAUGCCUACAUUAGGGAAACAACAUAUCUGAUAAUGUUUGAUUCCAUGUGGAAGGUAGAUAAUGCUGAAAGUAUCCGAUUCUGGCCUUUACCUUCCCCUCACAAACUAUAAACUAAUGUUCUAACUGUUCCUGCAACUUAAAGUCGUUGAUGUUUUUAAUGAAAUGAAAUACUGGUAGUUAAAGCUGAUUUGACAAAUGACAGAUGUUGGAUUGGAGGGGAAGGUGUUGAGCUGGAUUAAAAACCAAAACCCAAGCCCUUUUGAAGAACAAUAAAAAAUAUUUUACAUGCUAUAUGUAUAACUUUGCAUUUUUCCCCCCUAGUUUUACUCUGACUUAUAAUGUACUAUUUGUCCUAUACUAUGACUCUGCAGCCUUAAUUGAGGAAAAAAUAGCAGAGGGCACCUGGCUGCAGACCGUCAUACAGUGUAGACAAAAAUGGGGGGAGCUUAAUUAUGAGCAAUGUCCAGUAGGCACAAUAUUCAGCACUUGGACAUAGUGCAAUAAAGUUCUUGCAGUAAAAUGUCUCUUCCCUCUGGCUCUUGAUGAAUUUAUUGCAGUUCGUUAAUGUUAAGUGCUGUUCUUUAAUCUCAUCUCUAAAGGCUUUCAGACAAGUCUGUCCAUGCCCCUUGUAUUACUAAUCACCGUUCAGUACUACAUGGCUUAAACUUGCUGGUGGGUUUGUAACUAUUGGGAAACACAGUUCUACCUUUUGAGAAGAGCAAGUAAUGCUGCAGAUAGCAACUGUUCUCCUGUGAUCAAAUUACCUGUUAAAACAAGUAAAUAUAUUUAAAAAAACCAAACAACCAAAAAGUUUCUGGAAACUUUCCCAAAAACUGUAAAAGAGCUAUUGCAAAACUUUCUGUUGUGCCCUGAACAAGACUAGACACCAUGCCACCUGGCAGUGUUUGGGGAUAACAAUGAGAGACUUUCUGCAGUCUUGGAUCCUAGUCAGUUCCCCUCCAUGGGUAGUGGAAUGCCACUGGAUAGAUGCGUAUAAUUUAUUUAAAUAAUACUAAGGUGUUAUUUUCCAAGCUUCAUGGAUAAUGUUUCCAAUCAAAUUUAUUUAAAUGCCAUCAAAGAAAUAUUACUUGCAAAUCAAUAUCAUAUUUCCAAUAUUUAUCAGAUUUUCCCACUAGUGUACUAGAACAAGUUUUUGGUCCCUAUUGGCAAUGAGAUAAUAAAGCGCUUUGACCGUAAGACUGGAAGCAGUAACUGUGAAGCUUAAUCUCCUCUUCCUGUGCGGAUGUCUUUGCAGAGUUUUUUUUUUUAACAUCAAACUCUUGCUUGAUUUUUCAAAGUUUCUACCUUUUGGUUACCAUGCACAAAAGUGAAACAUCUUGCUAACUAAAAAUACCAUACACUUAAUUGCAUAUGAGAUAUUCUUGUAUGAUAUAAGCUUCUUGUCUCUUGUUAAUUUUUUUUCACUCCCAUCUCAGCAACUUCAAAUACUGAUACUUCCUUUAACUGGAGAUAAUACUUAUCACAUGUGUAUUUAUAUCACUCAAGAUACUGCUUUUGAAGUAAUUAAGAAUGAUAUGCAGGGUGGAGUGACUCUCCAUGGGUAAAGAAACUAGGAAUCAUGGUAUGCAUUGCUGCAGUAGCGUGUGUUCUGUUAACUAAAUAAUUAUAAAUAAUUUAAUUUAGUGCUAAUACUUGCAAAUCAAUCCUAGGGAUGAUUUUAAGAGAGCAUUUUAAGGAUGUGUUACUUGGGGGAUGGGAAGAGUAGCUUUUUGUCAGUAAACAAAUUUUGAAGUAAAAUGCCAAGGUUUCGAUCAAACCUGUUGCCUCUCUGGAUUUGUGUGGUGUCUCCGCUCUAGAUGAAAACGUUCAUGUCCUUGCUGAGGAUGGCCUGAGUCACGCUGUCAGUUUGCGAUACUGUGCUGUCCACACGUGUUCUCUGACAAAGGCAUAAAGGCUGCUGAAGCUAAUGUGUUGGAGCACACAGUUAUUUGCAACUGAGCUGCAUAGGCUUAACUCUGUAGAUGGAGACAAACGAGGGACACCAAGAGCCAAUGCCAGAGGGAAAUCCCUGAUCCGAACCUGUGGAUGGAUUAGAAGAGCUCAGGGGCUGAAAAGCAGGACUUUGGGCAGAUCAUCCUUGCUUGCUCCUGCAAGGGAAGGUCACGUCUGAGGCAGCGGGAACAACAUGCCGAGCUCAGAGUCCAUCACGGGCAGGUGGCAGAGGCCAGGUAUCGAUCGCAGUAUGAGAUGGAGAGCAAUGUCACGGCUGCGCGGCGUGAGAGGCUUUCUGGUCACUCUGCUCUAUGCAGCAGCUAAAAAGUAACUAUUGACUGUUUCCCCAGGAGGCCAAGAAAAUACUGUGCACUUAACAAGGUGGAGUCCAUGGCUUGCUGUGAAGGCACCUUAUGUACCCAUUUGGAAACCGUAUACUGUUGGGAGGAAGGGAUUUAAAUUUUAAUUACACCUGGCACAGACACAGGUUGGAGUUUGGGCUUUUAACAGAGGUUUUUAGAUGAUGGUUUUAGUGCAGAGACACCGGAGCAGAAAUGAUUUUGCUGACCUGUGCAAAGGGAUGCAGCUCUGAAGGUUUUAACUUCAUCACUGAGCAUAAAGCAUUCUCUUUGCGUAUGUUAUGUUUGGGGGUUGUU